rfam:TPA: Bos taurus chromosome 2, whole genome shotgun sequence.
UCCCUGGUGGUCCAGUGGCUAAGACUCUGAGCUCCCAAUGGAGGGGACCCAGGUUCAAUCCCUGGUCGGGGAA